rnacentral:rRNA from 1 species
GACGUAGGGCGCGAGCGUUGUCCGGAUUUAUUGGGCGUAAAGAGCUCGUAGGCGGCUUGUCGCGUCGGCUGUGAAACCCGCGGCUCAACUGUGGGCGGGCAGCUGAUACGGGCAGGCUGGAGUUCGGUAGGGGAGACUGGAAUUCCUGGUGUAGCGGUGAAAUGCGUAGAUAUCGUAAGGAAGACCAGUGGCGAAGGCGGGUCUCUGGACAGUUCCUGACGCUGAGGGCACGAAAGGUCAGGGGAGCAAACGGGG